CUACGGGUGGCAGCAGUGAGGAAUAUUGCACAAUGGGGGGAACCCUGAUGCAGCAACGCUGCGUGGAGGAUGACGCAUUUCGGUGUGUAAACCCCUUUUAUAUGUCAAGAAAAUGACGGUAGCAUAUGAAUAAGCACCGGCUAACUCCGUGCCAGCAGCCGCGGUAAUACGGAGGGUGCAAGCGUUACUCGGAAUCACUGGGCGUAAAGGACGCGUAGGCGGGUUGGAAAGUCAGGUGUGAAAUCCUACAGCUUAACUGUAGAACUGCACUUGAAACUUCUAAUCUAGAGUAUGGGAGGGGGAGAUGGAAUUAGUGGUGUAGGGGUAAAAUCCGUAGAUAUCACUAGGAAUACCUAAAGCGAAGGCGAUCUCCUGGAACAUUACUGACGCUAAGGCGUGAAAGCGUGGGGAGCAAACAGGAUUAGAUACCCCAGUAGUC
rnacentral:rRNA from 1 species